rnacentral:rRNA from 2 species
UGGGGAAUAUUGGACAAUGGGCGAAAGCCUGAUCCAGCCAUGCCGCGUGUGUGAAGAAGGUCUUCGGAUUGUAAAGCACUUUAAGUUGGGAGGAAGGGUAGUAACUUAAUACGUUGCUACUUUGACGUUACCGACAGAAUAAGCACCGGCUAACUUCGUG